AGCCACAUCACGUUCAAACACCAUUUCCCAUACAAUCACCAAAGUUAAGCAACAGUGAGUUUGGUCAGUACCUAGAUAGGUGACCACUUGGGAAUACCAAGGGCUAU